UACGUAGGGGGCUAGCGUUGUCCGGAAUCAUUGGCGUAAAGCGCGCGUAGGCGGCCCGGUAAGUCCGUUGUGAAAGUCAAAGGCUCAACCUUUGAAUGCCGAUGGAUACUGCCGGGCUCGAGUCCGGAAGAGGCGAGUGGAAUCCUGGUGUAGCGGUGGAAUGCGCAGGAUAUCAGGAGGAACACCGAUAGCGAAGGCAG
rnacentral:rRNA from 1 species